rnacentral:rRNA from 1 species
UGGGGAAUUUUGGACAAUGGGCGAAAGCCUGAUCCAGCAAUGCCGCGUGUGUGAAGAAGGCCUUCGGGUUGUAAAGCACUUUUGUCCGGAAAGAAAUCCUUGGCUCUAAUACAGUCGGGGGAUGACGGUACCGGAAGAAUAAGCACCGGCUAACUACGUGCCAGCAGCCGCGGUAAUACGUAGGGUGCAAGCGUUAAUCGGAAUUACUGGGCGUAAAGCGUGCGCAGGCGGUUUGCUAAGACCGAUGUGAAAUCCCCGGGCUCAACCUGGGAACUGCAUUGGUGACUGGCAGGCUAGAGUAUGGCAGAGGGGGGUAGAAUUCCACGUGUAGCAGUGAAAUGCGUAGAGAUGUGGAGGAAUACCGAUGGCGAAGGCAGCCCCCUGGGCCAAUACUGACGCUCAUGCACGAAAGCGUGGGGAGCAAACAGGAUUAGAUACCCUGGUAGUCCACGCCCUAAACGAUGUCAGCUAGUUGUUGGGGAUUCAUUUCCUUAGUAACGUAGCUAACGCGUGAAGUUGACCGCCUGGGGAGUACGGUCGCAAGAUUAAAACUUAAAGGAAUUGACGGGGUCAUAGCUGUUUCCU